AGUGAACGCUGGCGGCAGGCCUAAUACAUGCAAGUCGAACGGCAGCACGGCAGAGCUUGCUCUGUGGGUGGCGAGUGGCGGACGGGUGAGGAAUACAUGGGAAUCUGCCCAGUCGUGGGGGAUAACCUCGGGAAACCGGGACUAAUACCGCAUGCGCCCUACGGGGGAAAGCAGGGGAUCUUCGGACCUUGUGCGAUUGGAUGAGCCCAUGUUCGAUUAGCUAGUUGGCGGGGUAAUGGCCCACCAAGGCGACGAUCGAUAGCUGGUCUGAGAGGAUGAUCAGCCACACUGGAACUGAGACACGGUCCAGACUCCUACGGGAGGCAGCAGUAGGGAAUAUUGGACAAUGGGCGCAAGCCUGAUCCAGCCAUACCGCGUGGGUGAAGAAGGCCUUCGGGUUGUAAAGCCCUUUUGUUGGGAAAGAAAUCCUAUCGGUUAAUAACCGGUGGGGAUGACGGUACCCAAAGAAUAAGCACCGGCUAACUUCGUGCCAGCCGCCGCCGUAACAC
rnacentral:rRNA from 1 species